rnacentral:lncRNA from 1 species
GGUUUAUGUGGGCUUAAUGGCUAUUGCGUUAAUGUAGAUAGAGAAGCUGAUUGUAGAUGUCUUCCAGGAUUUGCUCCAGUUAUAGAAGGAAACUUCACUGCUGGCUGCGAGAGGAAUUUCUCCAGCGACAACUGUAAAAACAAUGAUGGGAAAAUCCAGUAUACCAUUCAGGCAGCUGAAAACACUGUAUGGGAAGAUACUGGAUAUUCUGAGGUGACUUCAACAACCAGAGAAGAAUGUGAGGCAGCAUGUUAUGAGGAUUGCAACUGUGAGGCUGCCAUGUUUAAUGAUGGAAAAUGCACGAAGCAAAGGCUUCCUUUGAGAUAUGGGAGAAGGGAUCUUAGCGUUUCAAACAUCGCUUUGAUCAAGGUAGGUAUAUAUUCAUCCAUUAAUGAACCAAGAAAACAUGCUGAUGAACCUAAAGAUGGGAAUGGGAAAGUUCAUACGGAUAUUUUAAUUAUAGGGCUUUCGCUGAUUGGUUUUGCAAUCAUGGUGUUGGUAAUUUCUGGGGCUUUGAUUCUUAGGAGUCGUGUUUUCAGAUACAAAAGGUUUUCUACAGACAGCAAUAUAAGAUUGUGCGAGAACGUUGCUCCUAUUUCGUUUAGUUUUGCAGAAAUCGAGGCGAUGACUGAUAAUUUCCAGGAAGAAAUCGGGAAAGGAGCAUUUGGGACCGUUUUCAAAGGGACGGUAAUGUUGAAUGGUUUAACAAAAGUUGUGGCAGUGAAGAGAUUGGACAACAUAUCAAACCAAGGCGAACGAGAGUUCCAAAACGAGAUGCGAAUCAUUGGGAGAACUCAUCAUCGAAACUUAGUUCGACUACUAGGAUACUGCCAUGAUGGAGCUAAUAGGCUGUUGAUAUACGAGUACAUGAUCAAUGGAUCACUUUCCGAUGUACUCUUUACACCCGAAAGACGACCUUGUUGGAUCGAUAGGGUGGAAAUCGCUCGCGACGUAGCUCGAGGUCUCCUCUAUCUUCAUGAAGAAUGCGAUACGCAAAUAAUCCAUUGUGACAUCAAGUCUCAGAACAUACUAAUGGACGAAAACGGGCAAGCAAAAAUAUCCGAUUUCGGAUUGGCCAAGUUGCUAAAGUCGGACCAAACCAAGACCUUCACUGGGAUCAGAGGAACAAGGGGUUACGUUGCACCAGAGUGGCACAGGAAACUACCGGUGACAGUGAAAGCAGAUGUUUACAGCUUCGGGAUCGUAUUAUUGGAGAUCAUAUGUUGUCGACGGAGUGUAAAUUGGAGCCUCAAGGACGAAGCAGCUGUCCUUGAAGAAUGGGUCUACGAUUGUUACCAAGCCGGUGAGGUAGGGAAGAUAGUAGGGGAAGAUGAGGAGGUGGAUAUAAAACAACUUGAAAGGAUGGUGAUUGUAGGACUGUGGUGCAUCCUGGAUGAACCAACACUGCGCCCUUCCAUGAAGAAGGUACUGUUGAUGUUGGAAGGGACAGUUGAGAUCCCCAUACCUCCCUGCCCGACUUCAUUUUUCAGUUCUAUUUAGUUGUGUCAUGUAUUUUAGAUAUUAUAUUUGCUUUACAUUUUCAUCUUGAUUUUGUAUUUGCUGAAAUUGAUGAUUUCCUGUGCAAUAUCAUCUCCAUAAAUCAAGCUUGUAAUAUUACCUAACCCCCAAGGAAUUGGUCCUUACUGCUAUUGAUUGUUACAUUAAAACGACUCAUUGCCGGAUUAUAUGAACUUUCGAACUUGUUAAACAAUAAGGUUUUUUUACCAUUAGAGGCAAAACAAAGGAGUACAAGAUGGAUGUGUUCCCACGUUUUAAGUUCCCUUGUUUGCAACUUGCAAGGACUUUUCAGAAGAAUGUUUCCCAUAUGCACUGUGUUUCCACGGGGGCGUUAAACAAAGAUUAAAUUCUGAUGUUGGUCCCUGUACUUUGAGAAAGUUAUGUAUUUAGUCUCUAUACUUUUAUUUGAUCAAUUUUAGUCCCUAUACCUUUCAAAUUAUAAAACUUCAAUCCUCAACAAACGAUUAUUGUUAAUUCAUUAAGUUAAAUUUUACUAUUUUCAAGAUAUAAUGCGCCAAACAUAUUAUCAUAUGUGUAAUGCCAUGUUAGCUUGAUAUUUUUACAUAACACUCACUACAAAUCCAAUUAAAUGAUUAACGAUUAUUAUUUGCAUCAAAAUUAAAAUUUUAAACUUCAAAAAAUAUAGAAACUUGAAACGAUCCAAUUGGAUAAUAUAGACAAAAUCUGCAAUAGUAUGCAUAGUACAGAACUAGUAAUUGAGUUUAAUCAAAUGAAUUUUAACUAAUAUUAUCUGGGUUGAGACUAAAAUUUUAAAUUUUAAAAAGUACAGGACUAAAAUUAAUCAAAUUAAAAUAUAAAAACUAAAUCAAUAACUUUCACAAAGUAGAGGAACUAAUACUAAAAUUUAACCUUAUACAAACACAAGUGGUUCCAAAACAUUGACAAAAGUUGAGCAUGAGAAGAAAGAGAAACUGAUAAUGUGACCGAAAACUAAACCACUUAUAUUUUCUCAAAAAGAAAAACCCACUUAUGUCAACUUCCAUAGGUACGACGAGUUGACCAAGCCCUGAAUCUUGCAUUGACGGAUAUUAAAGGAUUAAUUGGUGUUUAAACCAUUUCUAUAUUUUAUAAAAAUAUUCACUCAAUUACUAUCAUUAUUAAAAUUUAAUCUUCAUCUGUUACCUCACGAAUGAAAAUUAUUUUCUUUUUUGGCAUAAUAAUAAAUUUAACUCUCCAAUAAUUAUAUAUUCUAUCAAAUUUAUCUUUAUUUUAAAAAUUCAACAAAUUUAACCCUUAACUUUAUACAUUCUUUCAAUUUAAUCUUGAUUCAUAACAUUUCGAAAAAAAAAAACUUUAAAUAUAUAUAUUUAAAUUUUUUUUUGAUUAAAAUACAUAAAACUUUAUAAAAACAAAUACAAGUUAUAAAUAAAUGAAUACAUUUUUUCUAUUUUUUAACAUGAUUUUUUAUUUGACUAAUAAUUUUAUAAAUAAAACAAUUUAAGAGAAAAAUCCAGAAAAAAAGACUUAAACAUAUUCAACUUUUUUUUUUAAUAUUAAUGAUGCCAUGUUCAAGUUGAUUCAAAAACUACUACUUGCGGGGUAAGCACAAUUGAGGAUAUACAUAUAAGAAUGAAGUUUUAGAGAUCCUGUCAAUGGAAAGUAAGUUAUGUUGGCAGCUCCACAACAGAUUUCUAGUUGGACUAAAGAACAAAAUUAAAUGUAUAAUAAAUAAAUUAUUAUUUAUAAGAUAAAAAUAAAAGGGAACAAAGUUGAAUAUUGUUUAAGCUUUGUUUAUAAGAUUUUCAAACAAAUAUGAAAUGACAUCUAUUUAAAAAUCUAGAUUCAGUUACAUCCAAUUCAAUCUGAAAGUUGAUAUUAAAUUUCCAGAACAACAUGUUAUAACCUUGAAUAAUGCCGAAUCAAAAUUUUUUGAGAAAUGUGGGUCAUCGGCUAUUUUUUCAACAAGUCGAAGUUUAAAAACAUAUGUUUAUUCAUCCAUUUCCAAGCUAAUCUAUCCUGACCCACAUCAGCAGAUAGAUGCACCAGUGCGAUAAUACAAGUACCAAUAUUAUCAGGAAGAAAGCUGCAUAAACGAGACCAAUCCCAGUUGCCACUAGCCGUCACCACAUCACACACACGUAGAGUAUCAUCAAGUUGCCCAACUCCUUGAAAUAAGCCCCUUCACUGUCUAACUUAACAAACCCAAACAUCAUUCCAGAAAUUUGUCAAAUGGCCAUCACCUAAUGACCAAAACACAUUUUUGAUCACAUCCGACCACACUUUUGUCAAAGAUCUCCAUAUGUAAGAGCAAUUGCUUCUAGAAAUGGCAAUCAGCAACACCCCAUGAAGUUUAUACUUGCUCCCAACUAAUUUCACCCACAGAGAGUCAGUGUUGGUUAAAAUCUGGAACCCCAAUUUCAACAUGAAAAUCUUGUUCUGAACAAUCAAGCUUCGGAUUCUCGACCCUCCGAAUUCAAGCGGUCUGCAACAGUCAGUCCAUGAGACAAGAGCUGGUCUCCUUCACUCCAAAGUUGAGCCCCAAAUGAUAUUACGAACAAUCUUUUCAAUUUCACUGCAAAUAGAAACCAGAAUACGAACUGUGCUCAUAAAUAAUUGGGGAUAGCAAGCAGAACUGAUUUUGCCAAAGUUAUUCUGACUGCUAAAGGGAGCUUCCUAGCUUUCCAACCAUUCAACUUAUUCCGAACAUUACUCACUAUAAAAUCAAAUGAACUCGUUGUAACUAUUUUACUCAACAAAGCAUACCAAGAUAAAUAUCCAACUCCUCAAUUAGCACCAUACCAAGUUACCAACAUCAUUGCAAAUCAUAUAUGCUAAUAAGCAAGUGUAUUAGGAAAAAAAAUAUCUGAGAUUUCUUUUUAUUCACCUUUUGACUAGAAAAUUGGAAAAAUAAACUGAGAAUUUUCAUAAAAGAAGAGAAGAUCAUCUGCAAAAAAAUAAAUGAGUUAGAGCAGGAACCCUUCUUGAAAGAAAUAAUGGAGACCAUCUUCCGUGUUUGACUGCUUCAUCGAUAAGACAUUAAAAUAUGUUGAAGGUUGAAAUUGAAAAUUUGUAAUUGGACUGAAGCAAUUGUGCAGAGACCAUUGCUAGUUAAAUAUAAAUUUUCCUCUCAAAUUAAAAAUAUCAGCUCAUGAGUGGACUGAAUUAGCCAAUCGAUGAUUGGUCCCCUUUGGAAAUCUACGCGUAUGAGUCAUGACCUACUUCUCUAGGACGAAACUGCAUAGUGAUAACUAUCUUAUCAAAAAAGUAAGAUGGAAAAUUCAUUCAAUGUAUUAACUCUCAAAACUCAUUAAACCAUAUAUAUAAAACGAUAUGCUCUGUAAUCAAUAGAGAUAUUAUACCAUUUAGGCCUCAGCCAAGGUCGCCAUUUCAUUUCUUUUCCUUGUGUGCUUCUUUUCCUUUCAUUUGCAUGCAGUAGCUCAACCAAGGAACUCCACUAUACGUUUGGGCUCAUCUUUGACACCCACGACCACCGGCAAAUCCGCAUGGCUAUCCCCUUCUGGUCUCUAUGGCUUUGGGUUUUAUCCCCAAGGUAAUGGCUAUGGUGUUGGGGUUUUCCUUGCUGGAGUUCCUCAAAGGACAGUGGUUUGGACAGCCAACCGAGAUGCUCCUCCUGUUCCAAGGACUGCUAGCUUGGUUCUUACAACCGAUGGAAGGCUCAUUCUUCAGUCACCGCCAAGACGAGACGUAUACAUCGUCACCGAUGCUUCUCAGAAAAUUGCUGCAGCUUCGAUGCUUGAUACUGGCAAUUUCGUAGUAUUCAACUCUGACGAGGACAUCAUAUGGCAGAGCUUCCAAUAUCCAACCACUAGCAUUCUACAAGGACAGCAUCUCUCAGCAGGGAUGGAGCUGUUCUCUAGUGUCUCGGAAACUGACCAGUCAACUGGUAUAUUUCGUCUUAAGAUGCAGCAUGAUGGAAACUUGGUACAGUACCCUGUGGACACUCCUGACACAGCACCUUAUUCUUAUUGGUCAUCCUUUACAGAUGGUAAGGGAGAUAACGUGAGCCUGAAUCUCGACAAUGAUGGUCAUCUGUACAUGCUCAAUUCAACAGGCUUCAACAUAAAGGAUCUAAACACAGGAGGGUACGAUGAUACAAAUAGAACAAUUUAUCUGAUGAAAAUUGAUUCCGAUGGCAUCUUUCGACUCUAUUCUUACAGACUCGACCGGAACGGCAAUCGAUCAGUUAUAUGGUCAUCUACGUCAGACAAGUGUGCACCCAAGGGUCUAUGUGGGCUUAAUGGUUAUUGCGUUGAUGUAGAUAGAGAAGCUAAUUGUAUAUGUCUUCCAGGAUUUGCUCCAGUUAUAGAAGGAAAUUUCACUGCUGGCUGUGAGAGGAAUUUCUCCAGCGACAGCUGUAAAAGCGAUGAUGGGACAAUCCAGUAUACCAUUCAGGCAGCUGAAAACACUGUAUGGGAAGAUAAUGGAUAUUCUGAGGUGACUUCAACAACCAGAGAAGAAUGUGA